rnacentral:rRNA from 1 species
GUGAGCUCGAUGAGUAGGGCGGGACACGUGGUAUCCUGUCUGAAUAUGGGGGGACCAUCCUCCAAGGCUAAAUACUCCUGACUGACCGAUAGUGAACCAGUACCGUGAGGGAAAGGCGAAAAGAACCCCGGCGAGGGGAGUGAAAAAGAACCUGAAACCGUGUACGUACAAGCAGUGGGAGCACGCUUAGGCGUGUGACUGCGUACCUUUUGUAUAAUGGGUCAGCGACUUAUAUUCUGUAGCAAGGUUAACCGAAUAGGGGAGCCGAAGGGAAACCGAGUCUUAACUGGGCGUUAAGUUGCAGGGUAUAGACCCGAAACCCGGUGAUCUAGCCAUGGGCAGGUUGAAGGUUGGGUAACACUAACUGGAGGACCGAACCGACUAAUCUUGAAAAAUUAGCGGAUGACUUGUGGCUGGGGGUGAAAGGCCAAUCAAACCGGGAGAUAGCUGGUUCUCCCCGAAAGCUAUUUAGGUAGCGCCUCGUGAAUUCAUCUCCGGGGGUAGAGCACUGUUUCGGCAAGGGGGUCAUCCCGACUUACCAACCCGAUGCAAACUGCGAAUACCGGAGAAUGUUAUCACGGGAGACACACGGCGGGUGCUAACGUCCGUCGUGAAGAGGGAAACAACCCAGACCGCCAGCUAAGGUCCCAAAGUCAUGGUUAAGUGGGAAACGAUGUGGGAAGGCCCAGACAGCCAGGAUGUUGGCUUAGAAGCAGCCAUCAUUUAAAGAAAGCGUAAUAGCUCACUGGUCGAGUCGGCCUGCGCGGAAGAUGUAACGGGGCUAAACCAUGCACCGAAGCUGCGGCAGCGACGCUUAUGCGUUGUUGGGUAGGGGAGCGUUCUGUAAGCCUGCGAAGGUGUGCUGUGAGGCAUGCUGGAGGUAUCAGAAGUGCGAAUGCUGACAUAAGUAACGAUAAAGCGGGUGAAAAGCCCGCUCGCCGGAAGACCAAGGGUUCCUGUCCAACGUUAAUCGGGGCAGGGUGAGUCGACCCCUAAGGCGAGGCCGAAAGGCGUAGUCGAUGGGAAACAGGUUAAUAUUCCUGUACUUGGUGUUACUGCGAAGGGGGGACGGAGAAGGCUAUGUUGGCCGGGCGACGGUUGUCCCGGUUUAAGCGUGUAGGCUGGUUUUCCAGGCAAAUCCGGAAAAUCAAGGCUGAGGCGUGAUGACGAGGCACUACGGUGCUGAAGCAACAAAUGCCCUGCUUCCAG